rnacentral:rRNA from 1 species
UGGGGAAUUUUGGACAAUGGGCGAAAGCCUGAUCCAGCAAUGCCGCGUGUGUGAAGAAGGCCUUCGGGUUGUAAAGCACUUUUGUCCGGAAAGAAAUCCUUGGCUCUAAUACAGUCGGGGGAUGACGGUACCGGAAGAAUAAGCACCGGCUAACUACGUGCCAGCAGCCGCGGUAAUACGUAGGGUGCAAGCGUUAAUCGGAAUUACUGGGCGUAAAGCGUGCGCAGGCGGUUUGCUAAGACCGAUGUGAAAUCCCCGGGCUCAACCUGGGAACUGCAUUGGUGACUGGCAGGCUAGAGUAUGGCAGAGGGGGGUAGAAUUCCACGUGUAGCAGUGAAAUGCGUAGAGAUGUGGAGGAAUACCGAUGGCGAAGGCAGCCCCCUGGGCCAAUACUGACGCUCAUGCACGAAAGCGUGGGGAGCAAACAGGAUUAGAUACCCUGGUAGUCCACGCCCUAAACGAUGUCAACUAGUUGUUGGGGAUUCAUUUCCUUAGUAACGUAGCUAACGCGUGAAGUUGACCGCCUGGGGAGUACGGUCGCAAGAUUAAAACUUAAAGGAAUUGACGGGGUCAU